UGCUUUUACGUGUGUGUGUAUGUGUGUGCGCGUGUGUGUGUGUGUUGGCUGGGGUCUCGGGGUGGGUGUUUUGUCCAGUGUUCACCAAAAGCUAAAACCUGUCAGGCUUCCAUACUUCCCAAUGGAACCUCCUGACGUUAUAGCUGCAAACCCUCAUCAUGUGAUCUGACUCAACUCGACUGUCCAUAACCCCUUCAGUCACCUGACCAACCAAAUCAACCAAUCACUGUCCACCACUACCGCCUACCCUGCGCCAUCCUUUUGCUGCACACCACGUCAGCCCCAUGUGAUGUUCUCCAUCGAUAACAUACUACUGUCACGAUCUACUGUUACAUGCUGACAGCUCUGGGGUUUAAUCUGCAUCUGGAGUGGACGUUCAAGUGUUUGAACUUGAGGUGCGCUUGAUUUGUUCGACUAACACGUGGUGCUUUCCACCAUUUGGAUUGUUUUUAAAAAUACAUCCUAAAUCUUUCUCCUAAAAUGCGAAGAAAAACGAGAAUACCUCAAGUUUUCUUGGGACCAACUUUCUUAUAAGCCAAAAACUUUGCAUUGGAUUGUAAUCAACAAAUACCACCCGCCUGAGUUGUGAAAUAUUUCGUUCAAAAAUUGGAUGAACUUACCCUUUAAUCCAAACUUCACUUGAAAUCCAUUUUGAAUCCAGUUAUUUUAAACCCCAGAGCUGCAUUUUACAUUCUACUGUCCAUACUAGUGUACGUGCUGCAUACUACCUGACCAGGUCAGAAUCCACCUUAACCUGUCUCCAUGCCAACCACCGAGGAGCCUGUUGCACGGCAACCGGCUUCCGCCACCACCAACCAACAAAACCUACCAACCAUCUUCCCUCGCUCACCGAGGCCACGCCCACCUGACUUUGAUCGUUCCAUAGAAGGAAGAGUGAGGAUAGGAAGAAGGGAUGACGAGUAAAAGAGAUGUAGUUGUGACUCUCAGGGUGUCUUAUAUAGAUCUACUGUUCAGUCUGUCCUCUAGUGUCCCACAGGUGUCCCGUUGCCCCUUAACUCAGCCCAAAGACCAUCACGUCCUUCCACGAUAAAUUCCUUGUACAAUCGAUUGACCGCUGACCAAUUCCCCUCGAUCACUUGAGUGAUAGCAUCGAUUGACCAGUUCUCUACACAGCCAGGUGAAUGAAGCUAGGCACUGUAACUAAUGUUUACAACCCAAAUGAGACCAACAACGCUGUUGAAAGAAUGUCUAGGACUUUUUUUUUUAAGAAACAAAAACAAAAAGGGAGAGAGAGAGAGAAAGAGACAAAUCUCUGAAGAGUACUUAUUUCUAAAUGAUGGAACUUUUCGCUUACUUUCUAUGUGACAUGAGGUAAUGUAAUUUUUUUCCAAUCAUUGCAUGUGACUAUUUUUGAUUUGCAAUGAAAAAAAAACUGUUAGAAUGGAUGGUACAUUUGUGACGUCAGUGCAACGUUGAGACGCCGAUGCUAGAAAAAUCAAUGUUGGUGUUCUCACAAAGUGUUUUCAUGUCGUCGUGAGGAGUGCUUAUGGACCAAUGAAUGCUAAAUGUGUGACCAUACAAAGCUGUAAAGGUUUUGUUUAUUUGUACAUGGUUAUGGGUAAAAUAAACCAUUGAAGCAAAGUAA